rnacentral:rRNA from 1 species
AAAAUGGAGAGUUUGAUCCUGGCUCAGGAUGAACGCUGGCGGUAUGCUUAACACAUGCAAGUCGAACGGUCUCUUCGGAGAUAGUGGCGGACGGGUGAGUAACGCGUAAGAAUCUACCUUCAGGUCGAGGACAACCACUGGAAACGGUGGCUAAUACUGGAUGUGCCGAGAGGUAAAAGGCUUGCUGCCUGAAGAAGAGCUUGCGUCUGAUUAGCUAGUAGGUGUGGUAAAGGCGCACCUAGGCGACGAUCAGUAGCUGGUCUGAGAGGAUGAUCAGCCACACUGGGACUGAGACACGGCCCAGACUCCUACGGGAGGCAGC